rnacentral:rRNA from 1 species
UACGGAGGGUGCAAGCAUUAAUCGGAAUUAUUGGGCGUAAAGGGCGCGUAGGCGGAUCUCCAAGUCAGAUGUGAAAUUCCGAAGCUCAACUUCGGAGCUGCAUAUGAAACUGGAGACCUAGAGGGAUGGCGGAGAAAACGGAAUUCCACGUGUAGCGGUGAAAUGCGUAGAUAUGUGGAGGAACACCUGUGGCGAAAGCGGUUUUCUAGCUUAUACCUGACGCUGAGGCGCGAGAGCAAGGGGAUCAAACAGG